UACAGAGGGUGCGAGCGUUGUUCGGAAUUAUUGGGCGUAAAGGGCGCGUAGGCGGUGCGGUAAGUCACCGUGUGAAACCUCUGGGCUUAACUCAGAGCCUGCAGGCGAAACUACCGGUGCUGGAGUGUGGGGAGAGGUGCGUGGAAUUCCCGGUGUAGCGGUGAAAUGCGUAGAUAGUCGGGAGGAACACCUGUGGCGAAGGCGGGUCUCUGGACAGUUCCUGACACUGAGGCACGAAGGCC
rnacentral:rRNA from 1 species